UGGGGAAUAUUGCACAAUGGGGGAAACCCUGAUGCAGCGACGCCGCGUGAACGAAGAAGGUAUUCGUAUCGUAAAGUUCUGUCCUAUGGGAAGAUAAUGACAGUACCAUAGAAGAAAGCUCCGGCUAAAUACGUGCCAGCAGCCGCGGUAAUACGUAUGGAGCGAGCGUUGUCCGGAAUUAUUGGGCGUAAAGGGUACGCAGGCGGUUUAAUAAGUCGAAUGUUAAAGAUCGGGGCUCAACCCCGUAAAGCAUUGGAAACUGAUAAACUUGAGUAGUGGAGAGGAAAGUGGAAUUCCUAGUGUAGUGGUGAAAUACGUAGAUAUUAUGAGGAAUACCAGUAGCGAAGGCGACUUUCUGGACACAAACUGACGCUGAGGUACGAAAGCGUGGGGAGCAAACAGG
rnacentral:rRNA from 1 species